rnacentral:rRNA from 1 species
GACGAACGCUGGCGGCGUGCUUAACACAUGCAAGUCGAACGGAAAGGCCCUGCUUUUGUGGGGUGCUCGAGUGGCGAACGGGUGAGUAACACGUGAGUAACCUGCCCUUGACUUUUGGAUAACUUCAGGAAACUGGGGCUAAUACCGGAUAGGAGCUCCUGCUGCAUGGUGGGGGUUGGAAAGUUUCGGCGGUUGGGGAUGGACUCGCGGCUUAUCAGCUUGUUGGUGGGGUAGUGGCUUACCAAGGCUUUGACGGGUAGCCGGCCUGAGAGGGUGACCGGCCACAUUGGGACUGAGAUACGGCCCAGACUCCUACGGGAGGCAGCAGUGGGGAAUAUUGCACAAUGGGCGGAAGCCCGAUGCAGCAACGCCGCGUGCGGGAUGACGGCCUUCGGGUUGUAAACCGCUUUCGCCUGUGACGAAGCGUGAGUGACGGUAAUGGGUAAAGAAGCACCGGCUAACUACGUG